UUUUCAUAAAAUUAUAAAAGUUAGGUAUAAAUACAGAUAAACAAAAUUAAAGGGAAAAAAAAUUACACUUCACUUCUUGAGGUCGAUCAGACUCCAUGUGUGUGCAAGGAGACUAGGCUAUGUGUGUGAACGACCAAGGAUGUGAUAUAACUUAGAUUAGAAGACCCUAUAUCGACUUUCCUGAAUGUGCCCAGUAUUAAAUGGUAACUAAAUAGCUCACACUGACCCUUUCUGAGUAACAACUCAUUGUUGUGAAUUUGCAGAAGUUCAACAAAAGGAAUACAGUGAACAUCAUAUCGGAAUUUGGACAUAUCAGAGAGUCUGACUAUGUACUUUCUGACCAAAUCUGCUUCGUGAAAUUCUUCAAAACCCAUUGUAUAUAUCAUAUCCUUCAAAAUCUUCGGGCGAUGAAAUAUCACAGAAACAUAGCUGCCCUUCCAUCUCCAAGAGAUACAU
rnacentral:lncRNA from 1 species